UCAGAGAGAAGACAGCAUUAGUUAACCACGCAGCAGCAAUGGAACACUCGUUUAAGUUAGAUGAAGUAGUAAUAGUAGACAAGACACACAAAUCAACCAACCUCCAAUUCCUAGAGAGUUGUCACAUAUACAACACUGAGAAAACAGUAAACAAACGAUCGGACACAGAAAAUCUACACGCAACCUAUGCAGGAAUACUACACACAUUUAAGAAUGCUCAAAAUAGAACCAAAACAAAUCACACCAAUAGACCUAACACAAACAGACCAUAGACCAUAAUAUUAUUGACACACUUCCAAACUAGAUAAUUCAUCCAAAGUUGACCCUGCUAAAUUAGUGCUUUCCGUAAUGCUACCACCCCCAAAACAAAUUGUAAGUACACUUUAAAAAUAUUUCACACAAAUCACACCAUAAUCUUUGUAAAAUAUCCACAACAGACUCUAGCAAUAUUGACAUUUCAACGUUUAACAAAUCCGACUAGACAAAAAAACGAUACAAAUUGAGUCCCUGAAGAAGCUUCCAUACGAAGCGAAACGUUGGAUGAAAAUUUAA